rnacentral:rRNA from 1 species
CCGUCACACCACGAGAGUUUGUAACACCCGAAGUCGGUAGGGUAACCUUUAUGGAGCCAGCCGCCGAAGGUGGGACAGAUAAUUGGGGUGAAGUCGUAACAAGGUAGCCGUAUCGGAAGGUGCGGCUGGAUCACCUCCUUUCUAAGGAA